rnacentral:rRNA from 1 species
UACGUAGGGUGCAAGCGUUAAUCGGAGUUACUGGGCGUAAAGCGUGCGCAGGCGGUUUUGUAAGUCUGUCGUGAAAGCCCCGGGCUUAACCUGGGAAUUGCGAUGGAGACUGCAAGGCUUGAAUCUGGCAGAGGGGGGUAGAAUUCCACGUGUAGCAGUGAAAUGCGUAGAGAUGUGGAGGAACACCGAUGGCGAAGGCAGCCCCCUGGGUCAAGAUUGACGCUCAUGCACGAAAGCGUGGGGAGCAAACAGG